AGGGCACCACCAGGAGUGGAGCCUGCGGCUUAAUUUGACUCAACACGGGAAAACUCACCCGGCCCGGACACUGGAAGGAUUGACAGAUUGAGAGCUCUUCCUUGAUUCAGUGGGUGGUGGUGCAUGGCCGUUCUUAGUUGGUGGAGUGAUUUGUCUGGUUAAUUCCGAUAACGAACGAGACUCUAGCCUACUAAAUCGAUCGUCGGCUUACAAACGCCGGCGAGACUUCUUAGAGGGACAGGCGGUGAUUCAACCGCACGAAACAGAGCAAUAACAGGUCUGUGAUGCCCUUAGAUGUCCGGGGCCGCACGCGCGCUACACUGAAGUGAUCAGCGUGCUUUUUCAACCUACUCUGUCAAGAGUGGGGAACCCAAUGAACCUUCUUCGUGAUUGGGAUAGGGGAUUGUAAUUAUUCCCCUUGAACGAGGAAUUCCCAGUAAGCGCGAGUCAUAAGCUCGCGUUGAUUACGUCCCUGCCCUUUGUACACACCGCCCGUCGCUACUACCGAUUGAAUGUUUU
rnacentral:rRNA from 1 species